CAGUAAUUUUUAUCCGUUUUCCGCUUAUAUCCAAUGACGCGAAACUGUCAUCCGACCACCU
ensembl:ncRNA C40H1.12 ncRNA